GUGGACAAAAUGAAGGGAAGCGAGGUACACCAUGCCUGAGGCAAUCUGAGCUGCGAUGUGGAGCAUCUGAGGAAGGGUCAGCUGACCCAUCGGAGGAACCUUCAUCUCAUCCAAGAUACGAGCAUCUGGACCAAAUACUGCGGGUUCUCUACAAAACUGGACAGGCCAGAAUCCAGUGUGCCAUCAUCUGAAGAUAGAGGACUUGCCCCGAAGUUCAUGAAGCGGAGAGACACGGCCAGAUCAUCCUCAGUGCCUAGAACAGACGAACCUGUAGACACACAGACAGGAAGUGGUUCCCAAGCAGCUCUGGGUCAGCAUAUUUCUUCACAUCUAUAACCUGAGCCCUGAUAAGGGUUUUUACCGCCUGAGACCAAUAAAGCAGCUUCACUCAUCAGAAGGGAAGAGGAUUUGAAGUGAUUGACAGAAAUUCAUCUUACUUUCAACCUUUCCCUUUCAACCAUGUGACUCCAAUCUGGGCACCAAGUCAACCAGAUCCUGAAAACAUGACCUCAAAAAACAUGGACACCUUUUGAACACAGCAUCCAGCAUCUAUGAGAUGCCCAGAGAUGUGACCCAAACAAACACUAUCAAGCAGUGAUAUCUGAACCUGGAGAGAUAUAAAGACGUAUUAUGACAGAGGGGGAGAGUAGUGACCUGGCUGCAGGUUACUCAAUUCACAUCAAACUAAUGUCCUGCCACAGAGCGAGAGCAGUCAGGAGUGGACCGGAGUAAAAGCACUCCUGGAACUGGUACAAGGAAAGGCUUUUACACCUGCAGUGGUUAAUAUAUGGAUCUCCACACUCCUGCUGUCCACUGCCACACACAAUAAAGCAAACCAUCGACCUGUGUGUGCUACAUUUGCAUAUCCAGUUAAGUUAUGAGUAAUGUCCAAUUAAAAUAACACCGUAAGCUUUGUGAAUUUAUUGCAACCUCUAAAUUGCGACCGCUCCACCUCAGUAUUAAAAAGAUUGUUUAGUGGUU